AUGAUACAUAUUGGCAUUGAAGCCCGAUGGCCUUUUUCUUGCACCAAUUCUUCUCUCGUGAACCAUGGUGUCCCACUACACUUGAUCCGUGAGCUGUAUGAGACCUUGCGCAACUUCAAAAUUCAUGUUUCAGAUUAUGUGCACCGCAGAAAGAUAACUUCCACCAUGAAUGGACGCUUUCCAGAUGCUACAGCAGAUGAGCUUAAUGUGAGUGAUGUUACAUGUAUUAUCUGUCGUGAAGAGAUGACAACAGCAAAGAAGCUGCUUUGUGGGCACUUGUUCCAUGUGCAUUGUCUGAGGUCAUGGCGAGAGCGCCAACAUACUUGCCCCACAUGUAGAUCUCCCAUUGCCCCCCGGACAAUGGACGUGAUCCAUCAGUGCGACAACAUGAAGCUCAACUAG
rnacentral:rRNA from 1 species